CAACAACUCCGUCCAGAGCUUGCAAACUUCUGCCAUGAGCUGAGACACGAGCAGGGAGAUCUGGGCGCUCGUGAAAAGGAGAGAAAGUCUGCGUCAACCACCCGCUGCUCCCACCGCCACACUACGUAGACAACCAACCCCAGGAUGUAUAAACCCAGCUGUCCAGAGGUCACCUUGGCUUGUUUACUUUGACUGGAGUGGAUGCACAGUGGCGGAGUGGACCACCGCCAUCCACGACAGCUCACCUCCCAACAUGUGUCCAGCCCUCGUCUCUAACUGGAUCCUCUGUCACGCUGUAUGGAGGUUUAUGGGCCCGCUGUCACCUCACAGGCCGAGCCACCAGUCCUGAACGCUGUGACACGGACCAGCGGGGAGUACCUUGUAAGGGUCUGGCACAACCUCCACUUCUUCAGUAGGACCAGUUUGUUCUUGUCAAAACCCAUGUGCCACGACGACACUGAUGAGGUGGAGGAGAUCUAAACUAAGAGGCUGUCCUCGUGCACAGACAGGAGUAAAGAAGGAAGGAGUCCCUGUAAUGCG